rfam:Aquiflexum balticum DSM 16537 genome assembly, chromosome: I
GGGGCUGACCGGUUUUGACAGUAGGUGUAAGGACUGGGCUCGCAUGCAGGCCGGAGUAUGUACGGCCUUGAAUAAUUCAUACGACUAUAACUGGCGAAACUUCUUACGCCAUGGCUGCCUAAUCUGUCCCUCAGGGGAAUAGAUAAUGCUUAAAGGGUUGAGAUUCGAUAGAUUCUCCCCGGCCACAUCCCGCAACCCGCCGCUCUUUCCGGGUUGAUUCUGGGGUGUCGAAAUGAUAGAGCCGCUCCCUGUGAGGCUACUAAGCAGGGCUAAGACAAGUGGCUAAGUCAAGUAUAGGUGUGUCAUCCAGCAGUACUUGAUCGAAAACCCAACAGGUGACUAAGCAUGUAGACGGUACGGUGUUUCCCUAUCUGGACGAGGGUUCGAAUCCCUCCAGCUCCACUU